rnacentral:rRNA from 1 species
UACGUAGGGUGCAAGCGUUGUCCGGAUUUACUGGGCGUAAAGAGCGCGCAGGCGGUCGUUCAAGUCGCGUGUGAAAGCCCCCCGGCUCAACUGGGGAGGGUCACGCGAUACUGAUCGACUCGAAGGCAGGAGAGGGUAGUGGAAUUCCCGGUGUAGUGGUGAAAUGCGUAGAUAUCGGGAGGAACACCAGUGGCGAAGGCGACUACCUGGCCUGUUCUUGACGCUGAGGCGCGAAAGCUAGGGGAGCAAACGGG